ensembl:snoRNA small nucleolar RNA, C/D box 48
GACAAUGAUGACUCCAGGUGACUCUGAGUGUGUCGUUGAGGACAUCACCGCAGCGCGCUGACC